CCUACGGGAGGCAGCAGUAGGGAAUCUUCCACAAUGGGCGCAAGCCUGAUGGAGCAACACCGCGUGAGUGAAGAAGGGUUUCGGCUCGUAAAGCUCUGUUGUUGGAGAAGAACGUGCGUGAGAGUAACUGUUCACGCAGUGACGGUAUCCAACCAGAAAGUCACGGCUAACUACGUGCCAGCAGCCGCGCUAAUACGUAGGUGGCAAGCUUUAUCCGGAUUUAUUGGGCGUAAAGCGAGCGCAGGCGGUUGCUUAGGUCUGAUGUGAAAGCCUUCGGCUUAACCGAAGAAGGGCAUCGGAAACCGGGCAACUUGAGUGCAGAAGAGGACAGUGGAACUCCAUGUGUAGCGGUGGAAUGCGUAGAUAUAUGGAAGAACACCAGUGGCGAAGGCGGCUGUCUGGUCUGCAACUGACGCUGAGGCUCGAAAGCAUGGGUAGCGAACAGGAUUAGAUACCCUUGUAGUC
rnacentral:rRNA from 1 species